GAUGAACGCUGGCGGCGUGCUUAACACAUGCAAGUCGAACGGUGAAGGCGGAGCUUGCUCUGCUGGAUCAGUGGCGAACGGGUGAGUAACACGUGAGCAAUCUGCCCCUGACUCUGGGAUAAGCGCUGGAAACGGCGUCUAAUACUGGAUACGAGCUGCGAAGGCAUCUUCAGCAGCUGGAAAGAAUUUCGGUCAGGGAUGAGCUCGCGGCCUAUCAGCUUGUUGGUGAGGUAAUGGCUCACCAAGGCGUCGACGGGUAGCCGGCCUGAGAGGGUGACCGGCCACACUGGGACUGAGACACGGCCCAGACUCCUACGGGAGGCAGCAGUGGGGAAUAUUGCACAAUGGGCGAAAGCCUGAUGCAGCAACGCCGCGUGAGGGACGACGGCCUUCGGGUUGUAAACCUCUUUUAGCAGGAAAGAAGCGAAAGUGACGGUACCUGCAGAAAAAGCGCCGGCUAACUACGUG
rnacentral:rRNA from 1 species